CCUACGGGCGGCAGCAGUGAGGAAUAUUGGUCAAUGGACGAGAGUCUGAACCAGCCAAGUAGCGUGAAGGAUGACUGCCCUAUGGGUUGUAAACUUCUUUUAUAUGGGAAUAAAAUGUAGUAUGUGUGGGCUUUUGUAUGUACCAUAUGUAUAAGGAUCGGCUAACUCCGUGCCAGCAGCCGCGGUAAUACGGAGGAUCCGAGCGUUAUCCGGAUUUAUUGGGUUUAAAGGGUGCGUAGGUGGACGUUUAAGUCAGUUGUGAAAGUUUGCGGCUCAACCGUAAAAUUGCAGUUGAUACUGGCAGUCUUGAGUACAGUAGAGGUGGGCGGAAUUCGUGGUGUAGCGGUGAAAUGCUUAGAUAUCACGAAGAACUCCGAUUGCGAAGGCAGUUCACUGGACUGAAACUGACACUGAGGCUCGAAAGUGUGGGUAUCAAACAGGAUUAGAUACCCUUGUAGUC
rnacentral:rRNA from 1 species